AACGAACGCUGGCGGCAUGCCUAACACAUGCAAGUCGAACGAAGCCUUCGGGCUUAGUGGCGCACGGGUGCGUAACGCGUGGGCAUCUGCCCUUAGGUACGGAAUCACUCAGGGAAACUUGUGCUAAUACCGUAUGAUGUCGAAAGACCAAAGAUUUAUCGCCUAGGGAUGAGCCCGCGUUGGAUGAGCGAGUUGGGGAGGUAAAGUCUCACCAAGGCGGCGAUCCAUAACUGGUCUGCGAGGAUGAUCAGCCACACUGGGACUGAGACACGGACCAGACUCCUACGGGAGGAAGCAGUGGGGAAUAUUGGACAAUGGGCGAAAGCCUGAUCCAGCAAUGCCGCGUGAGUGAAGAAGGCCGUCGGGUUGUAAAGCUCUUUUACCCGGGAAGAUAAUGACUGUACCGGGAGAAUAAGCCCCGGCUAACUCCGUGCCAGCAGCCGCCGUAACAC
rnacentral:rRNA from 1 species